UCUCCGAAUCAAAUAAUUACAAUGGUUCUGGGUAAGUUUAUAUGAAGGUUGAUUUCAAUUACCUUUUACACAGGCUCUUAGCAAUAUGUCUUUGAAACAUUAGUUUUGAACCAAAAUUGAAAACUACAGUUAUUUUUCUUCAAACCAUCAAGUCAAUAUUUGAUAUAGUCCACUAUAAUUGUAACUUUUAAAUGGAUUUGCUGUUAAUAUACAUAUGCCACAUCCAUUAUGGUUUAAUUGAAAAAUCCAUUUUUCUGUGAUGUUUACUUAAAAUAUAAAAAUAUAAACAUGUCUUUCUCACGGCUAUAUUUUCUCAUGAUUUUUUAAUAACAUAUAUGUUCCUUUGUUUUGUGUGAUUUUGAAAGAUCUCUAUUUAUUUACUAUAUGUGCUAUGCUGUUUAUAUUUUAUGUAGUUAAGGUCACAUUAUUUUUGUCUUAUCUUUGAAUAGGGACAAUGCUGCAGAGCAAAUUAGUAGCUGGACAAAAAUCAUACUUCUUUGAGCAAAUUUUUGAAUCUGUUUUCCCUCCUCUCAAUCACUUUAGAUUUCAUAUUCUAAUUUUGAUUUUUUUUUUCUUGCAAUAUUUCAUUGUUUGUUCAGGUUGACAAGUUAGGGGUUGAAGUAAGUAUUAUGAACUUUGAAUUUUGAAUUUUCCCCUUCUGAGUUAAGUUUGAUUUCAGUUUUUUUGUGAAUAUUAACUUUUUUCUCCAUGAACAUUGUUGAAGGUUUUAGAACCAAUCUCUGAAUACUUUUCAUUUUUGUUUUUCAAUAAUGCAAAUAUUUGAUCUAUUUCUUUUUUGGAUUUUUAAUUUAGCAGUUAUCUUUUCAUUAUUCAUUUAUGUAUAACUAAGUCUUCAAACUAUCUCAUUAGAAUGACUCAAGUGUUCAAAAUACAUGAUUUGGUUAUCUUUUUUUAUAGCAUUCUCUAAAUUUCAACUAUCUUGCAACAAUCUUGAUGACUCAAGUAUUCAAACUACAUGAAAAAAACAAAACAGAAUGUCAUUGAUACAAAUGUUGUAACUACAUUUCCAGCUACAAUAUUUUGUAUAUAUUUUUUUUUUGUUCAAUUUGAAAUGGUAGAACAUUUUAGGCAGAAAACUAAUAUUUGACUUUUUAAUGUGAAGCUUUAAUUUUUGUUCCGUUAUAAAUGACCAAAUUUUGUUUGCAAC
rnacentral:lncRNA from 1 species